AGCUCCAAUAGCGUAUAUUAAAGUUGUUGCAGUUAAAAAGCUCGUAGUUGGAUUUCUGGUAAGAGGGAUCGGUCCAGCACUUAGUGUUGGAACUUGUAUCUUCUCUGACCAUCCUUGGGUUGAUCCUGUCUGGCAUUAAGUUGUUGGGUAGGGAAUGCCCAUCGUUUACUGUGAAAAAAUUAGAGUGUUCAAAGCAGGCUUAUGCCAUUGAAUAUAUUAGCAUGGAAUAAUAAGAUAGGACCUUGGUACUAUUUUGUUGGUUUGCGUACCGAUGUAAUGAUUAACAGGGACAGUUGGGGGUAUUCGUAUUCAGUAUUCAGUGGUGAAAUACUUAGACCUACGGAAGACGAACAACUGCGAAAGCAUUUACCAGGGAUGUUUUCA
rnacentral:rRNA from 1 species